rnacentral:lncRNA from 1 species
CGGUGGGUAGAGUCGGGUGUCGGUUGGAUCGAUCCGAGGAUAAGUCGGUGUAUGAGAUCAGUCGGUAUAUCCCAACACUAUCCAUUUGAAGGCGCAGAGAAAAUAUUAUAAAUUUUUUUGGCUAAAAAAAGAUAUAAUUUUUGGCACUUCUCCAAGAAAUAGCGUAGUUCGAUGAAUUUUUCGUUCUUAGCAGAAAUAUCUGAAUAUUUUUUUCUAAAAGAUUCGAUUGUUGACGC